GUCGUCGUGGCCGAGUGGUUAAGGCGAUGGACUCGAAAUCCAUUGGGGUCUCCCCGCACAGGUUCGAAUCCUGUCGGCGACG
rnacentral:tRNA from 3 species